UGCAACAGUGUAACCCCACAGCGGUCGGGC
rnacentral:sRNA from 1 species